AAGUCGUAACAAGGUUUCCGUAGGUGAACCUGCGGAAGGAUCAUUAACUAUUCCAAUACUCACACGUCUUUGUGCUUCUUUGUAACCUUUUGCGGGCAGCUUCUAGCUGGGGGACCGUUGUGGUCUCAUUGGACAUCCCAAUGAGCAUGCAGCGACACUUUUGCUAGGGUACUCCCUGAGAGGCCAAAGAGGUACAAUUUGACUACUUUCAACACACUUUUGAUUGACACAACAGGGAAGACCAUUCAUUUCUUGAAUGUUCAAACAACUUUUAACAAUGGAUCUCUUGGCUCUU
rnacentral:misc_RNA from 1 species